rnacentral:rRNA from 1 species
GACGAACGCUGGCGGCGUGCUUAACACAUGCCAAUCGAACGGAAAGGCCCUGCUUUUGUGGGGUGCUCGAGUGGCGAACGGGUGAGUAACACGUGAGUAACCUGCCCUUGACUUUGGGAUAACUUCAGGAAACUGGGGCUAAUACCGGAUAGGAGCUCCUGCUGCAUGGUGGGGGUUGGAAAGUUUCGGCGGUUGGGGAUGGACUCGCGGCUUAUCAGCUUGUUGGUGGGGUAGUGGCUUACCAAGGCUUUGACGGGUAGCCGGCCUGAGAGGGUGACCGGCCACAUUGGGACUGAGAUACGGCCCAGACUCCUACGGGAGGCAGCAGUGGGGAAUAUUGCACAAUGGGCGGAAGCCUGAUGCAGCAACGCCGCGUGCGGGAUGACGGCCUUCGGGUUGUAAACCGCUUUCGCCUGUGACGAAGCGUGAGUGACGGUAAUGGGUAAAGAAGCACCGGCUAACUACGUG